GUGGGGGCUGCCAGGCGAGGGCGCUUUCAUUCUGCUGCAGCCCAGCAAACCGGCCCUGUGCUGGGCACCGCCAAUCAUGACAUGCGUGUGGUCUUCCCUCACGGAGCUGACACAUAGUCACAAAGAGCCUGUGGCAUUUGGGGAAGCGCGUGUGGGGCGAGGACAGAGCUGGGAGAACGUGCAAGGCUGUGCAGCUGAGGGAUCUGACUCAGAGACAACUGCAGAAACCCGAGCGUGGAGGCGUGACAUGGGAGUCUGAGUGGCCACCUGUUGUGCAGAUCACACCAGCCGCUCCCGCGGUGGGACCAGGCGCUGGGUCAGGGUCAGCGACGGGAUGUGCAACAGAUAAUGCUUUGCAGCUCAUACGACACCCAAUCAGCAUGACCCCCAGGGGUCCUGGAGCCAGCUUGGGCUGGAGAGUGCCCCGGUGCCCAUCUCCUCCCACCUCCGCUCCCAGUGAUGGUAAAUCGGCUGCAUCUACUCCACGGAAAUUAACAAAUGCUACAGAUCAGUCCUGAGCCCUCUGAGGGCGGGUUGUUGCCCACGUGCCAGCACACCACUGAUUCACUAAAAAGUUAGGCCAAGUCUCCCCCAGACACCAUCUGGCCGGCAGGCCUCGCUGACCCUGCACCUUCACCGCCAGGACCCGGUGGCACCUGGCUUUCUGGAGCCCUUCUCGCCCGCCCCGCCGGCUCUCUCUGCUGGGAGGCGUGCUCCUGCAUUUCCCAGCUGGGAGCUGUCCUAGGAGAGUGGUCCAGAGAACCAGAGGCCGGCUGCACAGAAGACGCAUUCGCCUUGAGUGAUGAUUCACCUGCAGGUGCUUCAGAGCGUGGAGCCAAAAGAUAGAUUCACCCUUGGAGGGCAACGUUUGCUUGCAAUGUCUAGCUUUAUGGAGGAUAGAAACUGUGAAUUUUAAAAGCCAAGGACAGCACGUGGAAAAUCUGUGAAGCCCUUUCAUUCUCUUAUCUCCGAGGAGCUGGUGAGGAGAUGUUGAUAAACGGUGGAUUCAGACACAUGCAGCUCCUGGGCCAAUGGGAUCAUCCAGGCAGGCUUGGGGGCACCCUCUCUACUGGCAGCAAAUCAUUUCUGGGCUCAGCUGUUGCCAUCUUUGCUGCAGAACACAGCGGAGCCUGCGGUGAACAGAUUAGCUGAACUCCAAAGAUUGCACAUGCAUUUUCAUGGGCAUGGUUUUUCAAAAUACCCUUUUCACUGAAGAAUAACAUACAAACAGAGAAGUUCACAAAUCAUGAAUGUACAGCUUGAUGCAUUUACAAAAGGGGACACGCCCAUGAAACCACCAUCCAGAUGAAGACACAGAACAUUAACGGGGCCCCCCGAGCUCCCUGGUUCCCCUCCCCUCACUGAUGUCCUCAAAGGGAACCACUAUUCUGAGUCCCGUUACCAUCAAUGAGUUCCGUCUGGGUUUGAACUUUACAUAAACGAAAUCAUACAGUGCAUCCUCCUUUGUGUCUG
rnacentral:lncRNA from 1 species